AUACGGAGGCAGCAAGCGUUAUUCGGAAUCACUGGGCGUAAAGGACGCGUAGGCGGGUUUGUAAGUCAGGUGUGAAAUCCUACAGCUCAACUGUAGAACUGCACUUGAAACUACAGACCUAGAGUAUGGAAGGGGCAGAUGGAAUUAGUGGUGUAGGGGUAAAAUCCGUAGAUAUCACUAGGAAUACCGAAAGCGAAGGCGAUCUGCUGGGACAUUACUGACGCUGAGGCGUGAAAGCGUGGGGAGCAAACAGGAUUAGAAACCCUAGUAGUCC
rnacentral:rRNA from 1 species